ACGGGAGGCCGCAGUGGGGAAUAUUGGGCAAUGGGCGCAAGCCUGACCCAGCAACGCCGCGUGAAGGAAGAAGGCUUUCGGGUUGUAAACUUCUUUUGUCAGGGAAGAGUAGAAGACUGUACCUGAUGAAUAAGCCACGACUAACUACGUGCCAGCAGCCGCGGUAAUACGUAGGUGGCAAGCGUUGUCCGGAUUUACUGGGUGUAAAGGGCGUGUAGCCGGGUCGGUAAGUCAGAUGUGAAAUCUACGGGCUUAACUCGUAAACUGCAUUUGAAACUGCUGAUCUUGAGUAUCGGAGAGGCAAUCGGAAUUCCUUGUGUAGCGGUGAAAUGCGUAGAUAUAAGGAGGAACACCAGUGGCGAAGGCGGAUUGCUGGACGACAACUGACGGUGAGGCGCGAAAGCGUGGGGAGCGAACAGGAUUAGAUACCCUGGUA
rnacentral:rRNA from 1 species